CAACUUUCAACAACGGAUCUCUUGGCUCUUGCAUCGAUGAAGAACGCAGCGAAAUGCGAUAAGUAAUGUGAAUUGCAGAAUUCCGUGAAUCAUCAAAUCUUUGAACGCAAAUUGAACUCUUUGGUAUUCCGAAGAGUAUGCUUGUUUGAGGGUUGUUC
rnacentral:rRNA from 1 species